AGUCUGGUGCCAGCAGCCGCGGUAAUUCCAGCUCCAAUAGCGUAUAUUAAACUUGUUGCAGUUAAAAAGCUCGUAGUUGAAUUUCUGCUGUUUCGUUGACUGCGUUUGGCGUUUGUCAUCGUUGCGGCUUGGUUGGGUUUCGAUUAUUCGUUUCCCGGCGUUUACUUUGAGAAAAUUAGAGUGCUUGAAGCAGGCUUUUGCCUUGAAUACUUUAGCAUGGAAUAACGGAGUAGGACUUUGGUUCUAUUUUGUUGGUUUUAGGAGCCAGAGUAAUGGUUAAUAGGAACAGUUGGGGGCAUUCGUAUUUGACUGUCAGAGGUGAAAUUCUUAGAUUUGUCAAAGACGAACUACUGCGAAAGCAUUUGCCAAGGAUGUUUUCAUUAAUCAAGAACGAAAGUUAGGGGAUCGAAGACGAUCAGAUACCGUCGU
rnacentral:rRNA from 1 species